rnacentral:rRNA from 1 species
GACAGAGGGUGCAAACGUUGUUCGGAAUUACUGGGCGUAAAGCGCGUGUAGGCGGCUCGGCAAGUCGGGUGUGAAAGCCCUGGGCUUAACCCAGGAAGUGCACUCGAAACUUCCGAGCUGGAGUCCUGGAGAGGAAGGCGGAACUCUCGGUGUAGAGGUGAAAUUCGUAGAUAUCGAGAGGAACACCGGUGGCGAAGGCGGCCUUCUGGACAGUGACUGACGCUGAGGCGCGAAAGCGUGGGGAGCAAACAGG